rnacentral:rRNA from 1 species
UACGUAGGGUGCGAGCGUUAAUCGGAAUUACUGGGCGUAAAGCGUGCGCAGGCGGUUUGCUAAGACCGAUGUGAAAUCCCCGGGCUUAACCUGGGAAUGGCCGUCGAAACUGGCGAACUGGAGUGUGGCAGAGGGGGGUGGAAUUCCGCGUGUAGCAGUGAAAUGCGUAGAGAUGCGGAGGAACACCGAUGGCGAAGGCAGCCCCCUGGGCUGACACUGACGCUCAGGCACGAAAGCGUGGGGAGCAAACAGG